rnacentral:rRNA from 1 species
GGCGGGCGGGGCGGGGGCACGGGGGGAACGCGAAGAACCUUACCUACUCUUGACAUCCAGAGAAUUUAGCAGAGAUGCUUUAGUGCCUUCGGGAACUCUGAGACAGGUGCUGCAUGGCUGUCGUCAGCUCGUGUUGUGAAAUGUUGGGUUAAGUCCCGCAACGAGCGCAACCCUUAUCCUUUGUUGCCAGCACGUAAUGGUGGGAACUCAAAGGAGACUGCCGGUGAUAAACCGGAGGAAGGUGGGGAUGACGUCAAGUCAUCAUGGCCCUUACGAGUAGGGCUACACACGUGCUACAAUGGCGUAUACAAAGAGAAGCGACCUCGCGAGAGCAAGCGGAACUCAUAAAGUACGUCGUAGUCCGGAUUGGAGUCUGCAACUCGACUCCAUGAAGUCGGAAUCGCUAGUAAUCGUAGAUCAGAAUGCUACGGUGAAUACGUUCCCGGGUCUUGUACACACCGA